UUAAGAAGAUAUUAGACUAAUGAAUGAAAGAGUUGGAGAUGCGAUAUCAACAAGAGUUCUAACAGCAACAACAAAUUAUGCAAGAAAAGUUGCAGCAACAGUUACAACAACAAGUUGCAGAGCUUGUUCGCAAUCAUUUGACACGUAUGGCUCCACCAGUUCAUACUUCAGAGCAUUCUGGAUCGCACUCUUCUUCAGAUACUCACGCUGAUAUUUACGGAGAGUAUUCAGCUGUCUUACUGAGGGUAUGGUAAAGCUAAUUGUGGAGUUGCCAUAUGCGUUGCUCAAUCAUUCUUCAUUGUGUGCCAUUGAUUGAGGCCUUAGCUCAUACUGGUGGUAAGAAUUUUGGUUAAAAAUAAAAAAUCUUGUCAACUCAAGCUACUAUCAAUCCAAGUUUGCAACUUAUGAAUGAGAAGGACCAUCUUUAUUAAUAGAUUGGAGCAGCCUAAAGAAGAAAUAAAGACUAGAUUAGGCUGGCAUCAUUGAAUCCCUUUUGUUCUUAGACUUGGUCACUAAAUGUUUACGGUAUGCUUGAAGUGGUUGUACUGGUUUGAAGUUGUUUCUUUUGGA